CAGCAUAGUAUUCCAUUAUGUACCAUAGUUUUCUAAUCCAUUCAUCUGCUGAUGGGAACUUAGGCUGUUUACAAAUCUUAGCUAUGGUAAAUUGUACUGCUAUUAACAUAAGGUGCAUAUAUUCUUUCU